CAGCUCACGGCAACAUCGGCUCCCUAACCCACUGAGCAGAGCCAGGGAUCAAACCCACGUCCUCAUGGAUCCUAGUCGGGUUUGUUACUGCUGAGCCACCACAGGAACUCUGUGAUAUAUUAAUCCUAACAAACACCUCUUCAUCUCCUCCUCCCUCUACAAAACAGCCCCAUUUUGAAUAUGACAGAACGGAAACCCAGAGAGUUCAAUCCCUUGCCUGACAUCACAGUGCUGGACAGUGGCAAAGAGCCAGAUUCAGCCCAUGGCUGACAAAACCUCCCCCUACAACGGAGCCUUCCACGCCACAGAGGCAGCAUACAAUGCGGGGUAGGUUUUAAAUAGCAACAAUACCACCAAACAAGACCUACCUUUCCGACGUGACCUGCUCUGAUGUUUCCUAUUCUGUUCCUUUUCUCCCUUCUUUUUCAUACUGGUGUCAACUAGCACUGAUUUCCUGACCCACUGAUGGGCCCUGACCUGAAGUCUGAAACAAGCCACAGCUCACUGACACCCACCAUUCAAAGUGGCAUUUCUGUGCGACAAUGCGCUUUGUGUUCUGAAAGGUUCAUCCACAAAAGCACUUUUAGGACACAACCUAUUCACCAACCAGAGCCUGUGUGUAACUGAGCUGCUGGCUGGAGGUCACGGCUGGGUCUGCAGUCGGAGUUAAGGAGGGUUCUUUAAUCCGGACUAGUUUUCGCUAACGAUGUUUCGGAUGCCAGGUACAAACACACACCCAAUAUAAAUGUCCCCCCACAUACACCAAGACAAACUUUUGGACUGUUCACCGUGGCAGUCUGAGCUGGUCAUGGAGCAUGAAGUCUGGCACCUUAUUAGUGCCACUGAGAUGACGCCUCAGUUCAUCACCCUUUCUCCCCAGACCAGGUUUGCAAAAAGCCUAACGGAGCAGCACAUUUUUAGAGUUAAAGGUUUCAAUAGUUGCAACACUUCAAGUCUGUUUAGAAGCCAACCUGAGAUGCUGUGAUGCAAUAUUUACACUUGCAUUAAAUGUCUCUUUGUGGAGGUUUUGAUGUGGUUUUCAUUUGAUAAAAGAAUUCGCUUCCACCUCAGGACUCCGCUUAUUCUUUAACCGAGUGAAACCCAGGAGGGAAGGAGGGGAGCUGGGGAGAGAGAGAAUGACCAGCCCUUAUCAGCCAGGCUGCGCUGAGCGACCUCGCCCACUGGACUGAGAACCUCUGAAAUCGACAUCAAAUGUCGACUUGCCUCUUCAGUGUCUCCAGGGCACCCCACCUGUGACCUGUCACCACCAAAAAGAUCCUAAGGAGAAGCUACUGCUCGAAGAAAGAGGAAGAGGCGGUCUUUUCCAAUCCCCACUCCCUUUGGGUAAUAAAACUGUAGCCCACCAGAUCCUGGGGGCAGACCCUCCGUGCCUGCCCGCCUGCAUCUCUCACAAGUGUCCUAUCCUAAUAAAUCUGUUCCUUGCCGAUCACUUUGUCUCUCGCUGAAUUCCUUCUGCGCAGACGCAUGAAGAACCUGAACCUCAGUGAGUCCAGACACCAGGUAAGUGAUUCUAAUGUAAAACCGUGGGUUUAAGUCCCAAUCUGGCUUUAAUCUGGGUUCAAGCCCCAAACUGUGUUCUGGCUACGUUCAGGCCCUUAGUGCUGUCAGUUUCAACGGUGCCCAUCCUCUGGAGAGAGAGAGUCGGUUCAUAACCAAAGGAAUGGAAUGUGCUCUUCAGGCCACAGGUGGCCUUGGGACGAUGUGCCGUAUUCGUUAAAAUGGGUGAUGCUGGACUUCAGAAA